rnacentral:rRNA from 1 species
AGGGAAAUUGGCGGGGGUGCCUAAAUACAUGCAAAGUCGAGCGGACAGAUGGGAGCUUGCUCCCUGAUGUUAGCGGCGGACGGGUGAGUAACACGUGGGUAACCUGCCUGUAAGACUGGGAUAACUCGGGAAACCGGGGCUAAUACCGGAUGGUUGUUUGAACCGCAUGGUUCAGACAUAAAAGGUGGCUUCGGCUACCACUUACAGAUGGACCCGCGGCGCAUUAGCUAGUUGGUGAGGUAACGGCUCACCAAGCAACGAUGCGUAGCCGACCUGAGAGGGUGAUCGGCCACACUGGGACUGAGACACGGCCCAGACUCCUACGGGAGGCAGCAGUAGGGAAUCUUCCGCAAUGGACAAAAGUCUGACGGAGCAACGCCGGUGAGUGAUGAAGGUUUUCGGAUCGUAAAGCUCUGUUGUUAGGGAAAAACAAGUGCCGUUCAAAUAGGGCGGCCCCUUGACGGUACCUAACCAGAAAGCCACGGCUAACUACCUGCCAGCAGCCGCAUAAUACUUAGGUGGAAAGCGUUGUCCGGAAUAACUGGGAAAAAGGGCUCGCAUGCUGUUUCUUAAAUCAGAUGUAAAACACCCCUGCUCAACCGGCGACGGUCUUU